rnacentral:sRNA from 1 species
GAAUGGGCUCUGCAACAGAAACCUGAAACUCAGACUGAAUUUUCAAAUGAUAGUAUAGUUUCCUAAUUUGUAUGAAGGACAUUUCCUCUGACAUUUGUUCAGUUUCUUUUUUCAAUUUAAGGAUUUCAAGUUGCAGUCUUUCGUUGUCCAGCUUAAUGUUUUUCAUGGUCAGCUCUUCAAUUUCUGUAUUACAUGAUGACCUUCUUGAUUCUACAACAAAUAUAUUGAAUUAAGAAUACUAAAUUGUAUAUAGGCUUCUUUGCAACUUCAUGGAUUAGGGUUUAUUGUCAUCAAAUAUAUUACUAGUAUGCUGGUGGUAGGGGAUGUUAUGGCAUAUUUUUUUUAUCCUUUUGUAAUACCGGUACUUGAAGGCCAUACUUUCUAUUACCUACAAUGUAGCUGAGAUAUUAAAAUUAUUUUUUAUAAAUCUUAAUUUAUUCACAUACAAACAAUGCAUGUUAAUAAUCAUAGUUUAUAAUUUUAUGUCAAUUAAAUUCUUUACAUUUUAGGAAGAUCUGACAGUUUAUUUGUUUAACACCGUAAGCCUUAAAAUUCUUAAUAUUUCUCUGCGUAUGCAUUUCCAAUUUUCUGUACUGUAAUAAAUAACCGAGUAUGACAUGAAUAUAAGAAUAAAAAUAAAAUG